rnacentral:rRNA from 1 species
CACCGCGGUUAUACGAGAGGCCCAAGUUGAUAAAUGCCGGCGUAAAAAGUGGUUAGUUACACAAUCUACUAAAGCCAAACAUCUUCAAAACUGUCAUACGUUCUCGAGGACAGGAAGCUCUUCUACGAAAGUGGCUUUAAAUUAUACACUCCACGAAAGCUAGGAAA